UAUUUCAGGCCAAUGUGGGCCUUUGGUGAAAGUGCUCUUGUCCACUAUACAGAGAAAAAAGGUGAAAUACUUGUGAGUAGAUGUGGAGUGUUGAUGCUCCCAUAGGGAAAGGAGAGACACUGAAGUUCUUCUAUGAAACGGUGACAUUACAGACCCCAUGGACAGAAGAUGUGAAUUUGAGAACAACUGGAGCAAAAGGUAUCAUUCUGAUGUCCCUCCUAGAGGAAGUUUUGAAUGUGAGACACAGUUAAGUGUUAAUUUUGUGACAUCUUUCAUCAAAAGUAGCAUGGUUCAGAAUCAUUCUUUGUCAAAUAGGUUAGCUGCUGAGGACCUUUUUGAGUGGAAGUGGAGUUUGAGACCUGGGUGCCAGAGAUGACUUCAGGAAUUGUAAUUGAUGGAAAAAGGAAGAUCUUGACGCCUUUAAGAAAGAGAAAACUUUGAGAUCUGAUUGUGCAAAGAAAAUUUUCAUCAAAGGAGCAAGAAAUUCUUCAUAACUUCAACACAACAUGGCCUUUGGGAACAGAAUAAAACACAAAUAAGGAAAGGCGGAAAAUUAUUGACACAUGCACUGUUCUUGGUUUGAAAUUUAACAAUCAUGCUAGUUAUAGGAUACAGCUUUGAAAUUCGAGUCAAUGAGAGGAUGAAAAAUACUGAGGAAGAGUAGGUAAAUUGAAUUCUUGCUACAUGAACAAAAACACUGGAUCUGAAGGUAAGGUACAUUUUAUAUAAUGACCCUCGUCUUCUGACACUAUUUAUUCAAUGCUUUGGUAUUUGUUCGUAUAUUAUGUUCCAAAAACAUAUCAAUGAUUCUGGUUAUUCUUAAUUAAUGAACAUGCAUUUCAGCUGAUUUAAUA